ACAAAAUAUUAGAUGGACUAAGUGAGUUUUUGUUAUCUGUAAAUGAUAAAUCUGGAGUUGACGGAGGAAUGAAAAACGACUGAGGUGUUUUCAAAAUAGAACUAGGAGUCUGUGAUGAUUUGAUAGCAGAAACUUCUUCUUCAUGGUCUACAGCCACAAAUGCAUCGAUUGCGUACUUCAAAGGAUUAGCAAUUGCUUCUUCCCGAGCUUUAGCCAUUCCUUCCUCUUUGGCUAUAGUACCUGGAGAAACACUAGAAGGUAUUUCAUCUACACUUGACAUUAUAACAUCAGGAGUAUUUACGACUGAAUCCUUAGGUUUUUGAACUG